UGCAAUUACGUUGCCUCCGUGAGUAAUGCGAUGGGAUCCAGCGGACAAAUUGCGCGGCCAAGACUCGAUCGACCGGAAAUUUUCCAGGAGAAAUAGAAAUCGGAAUAGCAGACCUACAGUGGAUCCCCGUUUCUCCGAUCGUCGUUGACUUCUCGGUCAUCCUUAAACAUCGCCCUAGAGAAAAAGGAAAUGGCCAAUUAAGCUGUAAACAGAGUCAUUAUAAACCGCACGAUCGUUGGAGAGUGGUCGUGUGGACAAACCGUACCAUAUGAUCCUUGUCGAUCGAGCUCGGCAGGAUGUCGGAGGGGACGGAUCGGAAGAAUCGGACCCUCGACGGAGGUCCGCGACGUCGCUGAGGAGCUCGGCUUCCUCGUGCGGGCAUUUAAGUGCGAACAAUUAGACACGAGAGGAUCGCCAGAAAAAUCAUCGAAAUCGCAGGAAUGGCUGGAACGACGGAGGCAUCCGGCGAGCCGUUGCAGGCGUCCCCUCCGCAGAAGAAGCACUCGACCUCGGCUUCCGGAAAGCGUUCCCGGAAGUGGCAGUAGUUUGCGGCCCUGGACGCCGGGACGCAUCCCCUCACGGUCGUCAGGACGUUCCUGUCUGCUCGAAGACGAGGAAAGAAAAAGCUCGCUCGGCUCUUAAGUUGCCGAAAGUCCAACGGGAACAAGUGGAGAAGGAGCACACGAAAUGUCACGAAUCCAACGAAACGGGACGAGAGUCUACUAGUGAGAAACUACGUCGGAAAUAAGGUAAUGCAAACAUACACGAUGCGUAACGCAUUGUAUUAUCUGCACGAAUUGCUAGCGCACGAAUGAACAUUUCCUCUCUGGACACCUUUAGGCACUUUUCAGUUGAACGGUAUGCCAGCUAAUUCGGUACUACACAUGGCUAAAUAGCGAGAAACGCUUAUAAAAGCUACUACUUAUUCGUAGUCGAUCCUUAUUACAAUAAUACACGGUUGAUUCGUUCGAGCUUUCUCUUGGUUCCGUUGUACCUUGAAACGGUGCUUUUCGAGACGAGGAUCUCUCUUCUUCCGAGACAUCUCGGACCCUGGAUCGCGGGUUGCGACGUUACAGAAACCGCGAUAUGCUCCUCGUGAGACAUCCCGGAGAGAAAUCUCGCUAAAUAUCGGGCCGAAGGCUCUUUUAGCGUGCCGCUUUAGAAAAUUCGUAGGAGUGAAAUAAGCGCGGAGUGCCGUCUCGCUCCUAGAGGCCCCGUUCGCAAGGCGCGUUUUUCAAAUGCCCGCAAUGGCACGGUGACAUUACAUCUCA
rnacentral:lncRNA from 1 species